AUGAAGAGGUCGUCUAGGGAGAGCCACUGGAGGAAAAAAUAUUCGGAUUUGGUAACUGCUUAUGGCAGGGGAUGAGAGAGUGAGGGGUGAUACAGUGUGUACCCUGCUUCCCCUCAAAAAGCACAAUGUGAACGAUCUUAGACUUGUUUUACGAGAUUAGGAAUUUUAGUGAGUGCAUCUUCCGGCGGGGGCGGCUAGGAACUUUCCUGUUUUGUUUACCCAGGCAAGUGCCUAAUGCAAAGUAGGUACCUAAUAAACAUUUGCCACCUGGACGACCGCAAGGCUGGAUGCGCCCCAUGCACCAUAGAGAUGCAGGAGGAUUUGUGGAAAUAGCCCCACCUGGGAGGCACGAUAUUUUCCUAAAAGUGGGAUUACUGUGAAGAGUACGCCCACAUUUACCCUUCAGUACAGUACAGAAGGCUCUCGAUUCUGAACCCCUCCAGCGAUGCAAGAAUGAGUCAGCUUCCCAGCACGCUGGCUCAAACUGGGUAUUAUCAAACUUCAUUUUAAUUUUUUUUGCCAUCUUGAUAGAACAAGAAUAAUAUUUUAUUUGCA